AUUAUUAUUAUUAUUAUCAUUAUUAAGGCGGCGAUCUGACAGAAACAUUAGAUCGCCGGGCAAAAUGCUUAGCAGUAUUUCGUCUGCCGCUACGUUCUGAGUUCAAAUUCCGCCGAGGUCGACUUUGCCUUUCAUCCUUUCGGGGUCGAUAAAUUAAGUACCAGUUACGCACUGGGGUC